rnacentral:rRNA from 1 species
UACAGAGGUCUCAAGCGUUGUUCGGAUUCAUUGGGCGUAAAGGGUGCGUAGGCGGCGCGGUAAGUCGGGUGUGAAAUCUCGGAGCUUAACUCUGAAACUGCAUUCGAUACUGCCGUGCUUGAGGACUGGAGAGGAGACUGGAAUUUACGGUGUAGCGGUGAAAUGCGUAGAUAUCGUAAGGAAGACCAGUGGCGAAGGCGGGUCUCUGGACAGUUCCUGACGCUGAGGCACGAAGGUCAGGGGAGCAAACGGG